rnacentral:rRNA from 1 species
CCCUUAGACGUUCUGGGCCGCACGCGCGCUACACUGACCAGUGCAACAAGCAUCCGUCCUUGGCCGACAGGCCCGGGCAAUCUUUGAACGCUGGUCGUGAUGGGGAUAGACUUUUGCAAUUUUUGGUCUUCAACGAGGAAUUCCUAGUAAACGCAAGUCAUCAACUUGCCUUGAUUACGUCCCUGCCCUUUGUACACACCGCCCGUCGCACCUACCGAUUGAAUGGUCCGGUGAAGCCUCCGGAUUGGCGCGCACCUCGGUGCCGCCGAGAAGUUGGCUAAACCUUACCAUUUAGAGGAAGGUGAAGUCGUAACA